rnacentral:rRNA from 1 species
AGUAGCGUGUGAGUAACCUACCUUUAUGAGGGGGACAACAUCGGGAAACUGAUGCUAAUACCGCAUGAGGCCACGGAUUCGAGUGAAUCAGUGGUAAAAGAUUUAUCGCAUAAAGAUGGACUCGCAUCCCAUUAGCUAGUUGGUGAGGUAACGGCCCACCAAGGCAACGAUGGGUAGCCGACCUGAGAGGGUGAUCGGCCACACUGGAACUGAGACACGGUCCAGACUCCUACGGGAGGCAGCAGUGGGGAAUAUUGGGCAAUGGGCGCAAGCCUGACCCAGCAACGCCGCGUGAGGGAAGAAUGUCUUCGGAUUGUAAACCUCUGUCCUUGGGGACGAAAAAAAUGACGGUACCCAAGGAGGAAGCUCCGGCUAACUACGUGCCAGCAGCCGCGGUAAUACGUAGGGAGCGAGCGUUGUCCGGAAUUAUUGGGCGUAAAGGGUGCGUAGGCGGCGCUGCAAGUCAGAUGUGAAAUCCCCAGGCUUAACUUGGGAGUUGCAUUUGAAACUGCAGUGCUUGAGUGAAGAAGAGGCAAGUGGAAUUCCUAGUGUAGCGGUGGAAUGCGUAGAUAU